UUGAAUCUGAUUUUGGCUCUCUAAGUUGAAGUUUAUGCUUCACACCUGAGAGUAAAUCGGAUCAAGAGCUUGCGGGGACCUUUUGUAAGUAUUCUUUCGUUCUUUUCAUUCGUUUUUAUCGUUAAAGUCAAACUGCGUUUGACUUUCUGCUUUAACCAGUUUAUGGUCAACGCGAAGUUCAUUUGAACUUCAUAACGUGAGCGUAAUCACGAUGGUUAUAGUCCCUAAUGACUAUACCUACUGAUUUCCACGUUAUCUAGGCUCAGUGACGAGUCGUAGUUUCGGCCAAAAUGCGUUUCCUCGCGUAUUUUGUAACCAAACUACUCUAGGGUAUUAAAACCGUUUGUUUUAAUACCAAACCUGUUUUCUAACUUUACUAAACAUGUUCUAGCGUGUUUAGCUCGUCGCUUUUAGAUUUGUGCUUGUUUAGGGUCGUAAAGGUAAGCGAUCUAAUCAAUCGCUUAUACUUUCGAACCCGACCCAUUUGGUCGAUCAUUAGGAUCCGACCAAACACAUUAGGUGACCAUAGUUGUAUAGGGAAUAAUCUUUUGAGGUUAUACCUUAUGGUCACGUCGUUUAAGUAGUUGUAUGAUAAGUAAUUCUUAUGCCUUAGGAAAAUUACCAAAAUGCCCUUUUUACGCAUAAAUUCAUUUUAAGCAUAUGUAACUUAAAUUUUGACAUCUAAACUGAUUUAGCAACAAUAUUAGACAUGUUAAGGCAUAUAUUACUUGUCAUAGGACUAGUUAGGCGUUCCGAACGCGUUUUACGCGAACGACGCGUUAAAGUAGCGUAAGCUACCUAAACGGGUCGUAAUGGGUCGUAAGCACUUAGGAUAGGUUUCGUUUUAGUAUGUAGGCUUUGUUAAACCAUACUACAUAAGUUCCCACACUUAUUUGGUUUACGAACCCUCGUACUAUCCGAUCUUCCAAGUUAGGUCCGGUUAUUAAUGUAGUUACCUAUACUAGGUGUCGUUUGAUUCCGUGAUCUUCUAGCUUUGCUUGGUGGUUAUCCUAGGACUUCUAAGCAAUCUCAAGUGAGUACAUAGCCCCCCUCUUUUACUGUUUUUUCAAACAUUUUGGGGUGAAACACAUGUGCCUACUUGUUACUUUCGUGAUUUCCAUUGUUUUUACAUCAUAUACUUGCUAUGUUCAUUAGUACACUAUUAGUACAUGAUUUCAUUGUGAUUUUGCUAUGUAUGUUUACUUAACAUGCUAGCACAUCGUUUUACAUAACAUUUCAUGCUAUGUAUGUUCAUCAUACUUAGUACAUUUUACAUCACAUGCUAUGUAUGCCCAUCGUGUGCAUACUUAGUACAUCGUUUUACAUGACAUUUCAUGCUAUGUAUGUUCAUCAUACUUAGUACAUUUUACAUCACAUGCUAUGUAUGCCCAUCGUGUGCAUACUUAGUACAUCGUUUUACAUGACAUUUCAUGUUAUGUAUGUCCAUCAUACUUAGUACAUUUUACAUCACAUGCUAUGUAUGCCCAUUUGUCGCAUACUUAGUACAUUGUUUGUGCAUUUUUACCUAUGGUUUAGUUGAUACAUAUUUCACUUGCCAUACAUGACAUUUUAUUUACACAUUACUUGAUUGACAUUUGACAUAGACAUUUGACAAAUGGUUUAGACAUGGGCAAUUUACAUUGGUGGUUUAUUUUGGUAAGUGAUUUAAGUAACGAGAUGUGUGUAAUAUGAUACAAGCAUGGUGGAUACGCCGCUGGUACUUCCUAUAUAUAAGUGCUUGUAUUAUAUUACAUGUCGUAGCGUUAUUUAAAUCAUUCAAUUUGGACUUAUACAUUUUUACAUAAAUAACAUAUUUUUCACAAGACAUUGUUUUACAAAACAGUUUGUUUUAUACAAACGCAUUUUUACUUGAUUAUUCAUUUAACCUUACAUCAUUCUUUUUAACUAUACAUAUCUAUCAUCGAUUUUCAAACGUUUUAUAAAAGCAAACACUUAAACUGGAUUCAUGACAGGUACAAUAGUUGAUGAUACUUGAUGAUGAUAUUGAUGCAUGCUCACAUAGGAUUGGACAAGGCCUUAGUGACAUUAAAAGAUGCAAGACUAGUUAAUUUUGUUAUGUUUCUUUAUUGUUAAGACAUUGUAACUCAUUUAAUUCAAUAAAACAAAAUUUGUU
rnacentral:lncRNA from 1 species